GCCGGGCACAGUGGCACACGCCUGUAAUCCCAGUGGCUCGGGAGGCUGAGGCAGGAGGAUCACGAGCUCAAAGCCAGGCACAGCAAAAGCGAGGCCCUAAGCAACUCAGUGAGACCCUGUCUCCA
rnacentral:sRNA from 1 species